rnacentral:snoRNA from 1 species
AUCUAAAGUAUUGAGUUCACUUUAGGGCAUCUUCCAUGCUCUGUUAAUUAAAGUUUGCAACAUCAAAAUGCUGGGGAAAAGAAUCGGAUAGAAAAUGUAUUUCUAUAUAUUUAAUCCCCAGCCUACAAAU